CCCUGCCUCUAAGCAUCAGCACUGUGCUGGUAAUGAGUUAUGCAAACGGCUGAAAUUGAACACCAACCGAGAGGCCAGAAGAGUCCAGGCUAAAACAGCACAUUCCCCCGGAGGCCUCAUACCAGAGAGAGAGAGAAAUAUGGAGCCAGGAAAUGUGAGGAUUUAAAGCUUAAGAUGCUGCAGGCUGGCUUUUUGUGUGUGAACCUGAAGUUGAAGUUCAAGUGAACAUGCUACCACAUGUAGGUUCAGGAGGUUCUCCAUGAUGGAAACCUUCCUCUUCCAGUCCCUGAUGUCCACCUGCACAGGCUGUCUGUCUUAUCUCAGCCCCUCUAGCGCCCGUGGCGAAGGAGUCUCAGGUGGCGGGCAACAAGUUGUAGACAUUGGGAAAGAGAGCGGGCGUUCAUUAUGAAAUAGUCGGGCUACUGUGGCUGUGCAUUGAAUACUCAGUGUCUUGUUCGCUACAGACUCGGACAAGAACAGGG